AGUUAUGCCUAACAUGUCGAUAUGAGUCCACGCUUGUUGGUGCGUCGCUCUGCAAUAUGUCAUCGAGAAGCGCAAAAUUAGUAAAUGCUGCUUUACGCAACGAAAAUUUUGUAAAGGAACAGAUAUCUGUCGCAUCAACAAGUGCCUUUAAAAAUUCCGUUCCGUAUUAUUACACAAAUAUUACGAAUUACCUUUAACAUGCCAACAAAACAUCAGUAGCAAUAACAGUGACUCGGAAUCCGACUUUAUACCGUGUUCACAGAAAAUUAAACAGAACAAUUUUGGAAUCACCUGAAUAAUCGGACGGAGAAACAGUUCAACUGACUAAGAAAGGGAGUAUAAGGAAGCGGAAAACAUACAACGUUAGCUUAAAAGAUCGAAAGAGACUAAAGAAUGAAGAAAAAAUAUUAACUAAAUAUUUUGUAAAGGCAGGUUGCCAGGAAAACAUCUGCAAAAAAAGUGCUCAAUUUUGAUGAAUAUUGUUUACGUUUGUUACUGGUUGUGUUAAUUUUUUUCAUUUCAGACAAAUUAUGUGCUGCAAGCCAUUUUAAAUUAUACGAAUUUAAUUAUAA